rnacentral:rRNA from 1 species
UACGUAGGGAGCAAGCGUUGUUCGGAUUUACUGGGUGUAAAGGGCGCGUAGGCGGCAAAUUAAGUCAGCUGUGAAAUCUCCGAGCUUAACUCGGAACGGUCAGCUGAUACUGAUCUGCUAGAGUGCGGAAGGGGCAAUCGGAAUUCUUGGUGUAGCGGUGAAAUGCGUAGAUAUCAAGAGGAACACCUGAGGUGAAGACGGGUUGCUGGGCCGACACUGACGCUGAGUGCGCGAAAGCCAGGGGAGCAAACGGG